rnacentral:rRNA from 1 species
CCAAACUGUUGCCUCGGCGGGAACUCAUGCCCCGGGUGCGUCGCAGCCCCGGACCAAGGCGCCCGCCGGAGGACCAACCAAAACUCUUUUUGUAUACCCCCUCGCGGGUUUUUUAUAAUCUGAGCCUUCUCGGCGCCUCUCGUAGGCGUUUCGAAAAUGAAUCAAAACUUUCAACAACGGAUCUCUUGGUUCUGGCAUCGAUGAAGAACGCAGCGAAAUGCGAUAAGUAAUGUGAAUUGCAGAAUUCAGUGAAUCAUCGAAUCUUUGAACGCACAUUGCGCCCGCCAGUAUUCUGGCGGGCAUGCCUGUCCGAGCGUCAUUUCAACCCUCGAACCCCUCCGGGGGGUCGGCGUUGGGGAUCGGCCCUCCUCUUGCGGGGGCCGUCUCCGAAAUACAGUGGCGGUCUCGCCGCAGCCUCUCCUGCGCAGUAGUUUGCACACUCGCAUCGGGAGCGCGGCGCGUCCACAGCCGUUAAACACCCAACUUCUGAAAUGUUGACCUCGGAUCAGGUAGGAAUACCCGCUGAACUUAAGCAUAUCAAUAAGCGGAGGAA